UUUAAGUAUAGUUUUAUUCGGCGUUUUGCAUUUGCGCCGAUCUGCAUUUCAUUUGCGCCGAUUUUUUCUUUCAUUUGCGCCGAUUUUUUUUUUCAUUUGCGCCGAUUUUUUUACAGGUAAAUUACAGGUGAAAUGAUAUAAGAAGAUGUGGUAUGAGUGCCAAUGAGACAACUCUCAAUCCCAGUAAUGUUAUUUUCAUUUAUCAUUAAAGACCUCUUCCGUUAGCCAGUUGUACAUAUGUUAUGAAUUGUCAAUCAUAACAUGUAUAUAACUGUUGUCUCCUGCUUAAAAUCAAGAAGUAAAAACCUAAGAUAAAAGCACUUUGUUUAAACUAAAAUGACGAAUUAAAAAUAUAUGUACAGCAUUCAAAUCCAUAAAAACGGAAUACAUUCAAAUCAUAAAUCUGUUCUUGCCGAGUAUGUAUAGGCAACACAUCUAAUAUUUCCUUUCUUAUGAUUUCGUCUCUUCUAUAUUUGGCGUAAUUGUCGAUAACGAAGGCUAUCUUUUCUUUGUCUGGCAUACGUACUGGUGGGGGCAUUUCUAGAGUUCGCAUUUUCUCACAAGGAAGCUAUUAAACCAAGAGUUCCAAAUGGUGAAGUUGAAAUCAUCCCUUCGUUAAUUUUAUGGACGCCAUCACGAAUUAGUUGAUAGUUAUGGAAUGUGUAUUUGUACGUUGUCUAAGAAUAUAUGACAUUUGUCAUCAGAAGGAGCGUCAGACACUGUCAAACGUGAAGCAGUCA
rnacentral:lncRNA from 1 species